rnacentral:rRNA from 1 species
AGAGUUUGAUUAUGGCUCAGAUUGAACGCUGGCGGCAUGCUUUACACAUGCAAGUCGAACGGCAGCACGGACUUCGGUCUGGUGGCGAGUGGCGAACGGGUGAGUAAUACAUCGGAACGUGCCCAGUUGUGGGGGAUAACUACUCGAAAGAGUAGCUAAUACCGCAUGAGAACUGAGGUUGAAAGCAGGGGAUCGCAAGACCUUGCGCAACUGGAGCGGCCGAUGGCAGAUUAGGUAGUUGGUGGGAUAAAAGCUUACCAAGCCGACGAUCUGUAGCUGGUCUGAGAGGACGACCAGCCACACUGGGACUGAGACACGGCCCAGACUCCUACGGGAGGCAGCAGUGGGGAAUUUUGGACAAUGGGCGAAAGCCUGAUCCAGCAAUGCCGCGUGCAGGAUGAAGGCCUUCGGGUUGUAAACUGCUUUUGUACGGAACGAAAAGCUUCGGGUUAAUACCCUGGAGUCAUGACGGUACCGUAAGAAUAAGCACCGGCUAACUACGUGUCAGCCGCCGCGGUAA